GCAAAAAACUGUUGAAGCUCCCGCUUUAACGUAAGAAAAUGUAAAGUACCCUAUACCAGCGUAAAGAUCUGCAAUAAUUUCGUCUUUAAUGUAACUAAAAUUAAGUACUCUGGCCUUUUCAAUCGAAUUACCACGAGAGAACAUCGUAUAAAGAGGAGCCCAUGUCUGAUAAAUACCGUUUUGACGACAACUUACCCAAAAUGCUUUUUGAAAAUCCUGUUCAGAGGGGUUGCCAUCAAUUAGCACUCCAAAGUCACCGUAUAGCGGUUUCAAUGACAAUGGUCUUCUCAUUACAUCCCCCACAGGAAUAGGUUCAUUAAUAGCAAUAUGUGAUACGUUCCAUUCUCUAGCAAAAAUAUCAAAUAAACCAGCUUUGACAUCGACGUUUGCAUAAGACUGAAAAAAAAGAUGCCAUUCUUUAGUGCCAAAACUGUUUAAAGAUAAUAGAGCUAACGGAGGAUAAAUGACAAACCUAGAUGGAACGGGAUAUUGUUCUUCACUCACAGUUGUGUGAAGGAUUUGAGAUACAUAGCGAAGAACUUUAAUCUGCAAUUUUUCAUCUGUUUGAACAGAUUUUACCUCCUCUUCGAUUAAAUAAAUUCUUGGGCAAUCUAAUAUAUCUUUAGGAAGGUCUUCUUUGUUAUAAGAAGUUGGAAUAAGAACGCACUUUUUGAGAAAAUCUGCUUCAAAUUGAUUGCUGUAGGUGUCAACUAAUUUAGGUCCCGAAAUGAUCCCAAUAUUUUUAAGAAACUUAUUUUUAUUUUGAACAACAUCCUUCCAGUACUUUGCUUCAGACUUUUGUACUAGAAAAGAAAUCAUGAAUAAGUUGGAAGAAAUGAGGUUAGGAAUAGUACACGACAAUUAUAAACUUUGCGAGAAAUUCUUAACUUCAAGAUACAACCUUUGUCAAUGUCUAAAAUGUUAGAAAAAUAGCUUCAAAUAUUUAAAAAUGACGAUUUAAAGUCAUGAAAUUAAAAGUUAUUAUAAGAUUUUAUGACCACAAAAAAUUCAAUCAAUAUAACCUUAAAAUAAGUAGAGACUUACCAAUAUACUUUCGACGUGAUGAGAUUGAGGAAAUAGAUCAAAUCCGCGAAUUUCGUCUAUUUUGUAAGACCGUCCUUUUUCUUGACUCAGCAAAAAGCCAACGUCACGAGCUUGUGUAUGUACAUUGCAAGAGAUAUAUACAAUUCGAUAUGGACUAUAUUCCAAAAGUUGAUUCAAAAAGGAUUGGUCACAUCCUUUUCUGGGAGGAUCAAUUACCAUAGCAGUUUCAUUAGGAGGUGUUUCAAUGCUCUAUUUUAAUGUGUCAGUUUCAAGCCUCUAAAAUACACUUAUUCCUUACCGAAAAUAUUUUUUCUGCUUGUCCGACUAUAAAUGUCGCAUUCGAAACAUUAUUUCUCUUGGCAUUUUCUUCAGCAUAACGAACGCUAUCUGCUGAAAUCUCCACGCCAAUUACAGAAAGAAAGCCCUUUGAACAUGCCACACUAAAUAGUCCAGAACCGCAAUAAGCAUCCACAAAGUAUUUGGGCCUUUGAUGUUCUUUUCGUCCAAAUGGGUUAAGCAAUUGUUCACGAACAUAGCUGGUGAACUUUUCCAAUAUAGAAUUAUUGUUCUGAAAAAAGGCGCCUGCUGGAAAUGUAAAACUUAGAUCACCAAAUUGCUCCCUAACAAUCAUCUUAUGGUCCGUAAUAACACAAUGCUUGCCGUCCUCUGUUGCGGAAUCUCUCAUUAGAAUAGUAGCUCCUCGCUUAAACGUAUUAGCACGACUUUGAACAUCUUCAAUAAUUUUCGGAUAUUCUUCAUUGAUGGUUUUUGUAGCAAUUGGACAUUCUUCUAUGUCCAUUACUCGUCUUCUUCCUUUUUCUUGGAAGCCAAUAAUUAAUGGUCCUUUAGUACCACCUUUCGGUACAUCGAAAUGUGGUGUUAUUUUUGUACGAUAAUUAUACUGAAGAGGGCUUCCAACAGUGUCUUUUAUAGCAGGAAGUAAAGAAGAGUCGAGUUUAGAGUAGUACUGAAAAGCUUUCUCAACUACUCUUUUUUUUUGAAGUAACUGUUUAUCAUAGGAUAGCAUUUGAUACUGACAACCUCCGCAUUUUGCAAAGUACGGGCACUUUAUAAGGGUGUCAUCCCUAUCUUCAGACGGGGAAAUUACUUCUAAAAAAUCAGCCAGUGCAUAAGUGCUAAUCGGUUAAUAAAGGUUUAACGGAACACUUGAAUUUUUUUUCCAUGCUCAGGAAGAUGAAUUAGAUUCAAAGUAUGUGUUCAAAAGCUGGGCAUGUUUAAAAUUCUUUAAAUUUACUUACUCAGCUAGAAAAUGCAAUUUGGCUUUCACGAUAUCACCUGGAAGUGUAAAGGGUACUACUACUGCAUAUUGAUCAUUGCAAACAAGGCCAAUUCCAUCACCUGUAAUAGUUGGUUAGUUAUUUUUAAAUUUAUUUAGAACAUUAAAAGGAUUUUUCAAAUACGACUGAUAUGAAGCUCACAUAAAAAAACGAAGCUCGCCAUCAAGAAUACGGGAUUAAGAACUUACCAGACGAGCUCAAAUAACUAAUUUUGACCUCUAUUUCUUGAAAGCGCUCAAAAGGCACAUUUGCCAAAACGGGUUUCUCAAUCAAAUUUUCAAUUUCUAACAGCAAGACAUGACCGGAACUUCCCUCUUCGACUGGCUUUUUAGCGCGCCUUUUUGAAAGUUUACGAGCUCUCUUAUUAGCAGCUUCCGAUAUAGAGGAAAUAGCUCUUGUUUCUUGGGCCAUUUUAUGAGUAGGGUGAGAUGGCGUAGGAAGAAAACGAAAACGACAAAUUUUCAGAGUCCUCGCACUGAGUAUGUUUUGUAUACACAGAAAAUUAAUCAUUUGCUUUGAACGUAAACCAUUUGUUAAAUAUUUCAAACAAUAUGGAUACAUGUGGAACAUCCAAUCAUCAGCGUUACAUAUACUUUAGUAUGUUGUUUUCAUUAUGGAAAGUUGCAGCAAUGAAGUGUUAGGAACU